rnacentral:lncRNA from 1 species
UGAAAACGCACAUCUCUUCUCUUCUUGUUAGCAUAGCUAGCCAUCUGUUCUUGCGCUCUUUGUAGAUGUGAUUUAAGUUGUGUUAGAGCCUCAUCUCUCUCACUUAGCUCUAAUGCCACCGCAACCACCUUAGUCUCAUUUGAUAAAAACCGCAGAAUACUAGGAGGAUGCCUUCCAUAAACCACUUCAAACGGAGUUCUCCCAAUCGACACAUGAUAGGUGGUAUUGUACCAAAACUCAGCCCAUGAAAGCCAAGUUGACCAAGUUUUGGGUUGAUCUGAAGCAAAACAUCUCAAAUAGCUUUCCAGACAUCUAUUUAUCACUUCCGUUUGCCCAUCCGUUUCUGGAUGAUAGGCAGAACUCAUCUGCAAUUUAGUGCCCUGCAGUUUAAAUAAUUCCAACCAAAAAUGGCUCACGAAUAAGGGAUCCCUGUCACUGAUAAGGGACUUUGGAAUUCCAUGAAGCCGCACUAUUUCUUUUACAAACAAUUCAGCAAUGGACUUAGCUGUGUAAGGAUGCUUGAGCAAUAUGAAGUGAUUGUACUUAGACAACCUAUCCACAACCACCGGUACAGCCUCAUAACCCUUAGACUUAGGCAAACCCGUAAUGAAAUCUAGCGAAAGAUCCUCCCAAAUACCAUUAGGAAUGGGGAGAGGUUGCAGCAAACCUCCGGGAGUAGUAGCUGCAUACUUUUGUCUUUGACAGAUAUCACAAGCACGCACAAAUUCUCUCACCGACUUCUGCAUUCCCAGCCAAUAUAAAUUAUCCGCCAGCUUCCGAUAGGUUCUCAAGAAACCUGAAUGUCCACCAGUAGGAGUGCAAUGAAAUACCUCCAACAGUAGAGGGAUAGAUGGGGACUUAGGAGAAAGAACCAGCCUGCCAUGAUAAAACAACACACCUUGCUUAACAAAAUAGCCUGGCUUAGAAUCAGGAGCAGACAACACGGUUUGUAUCAUGUCCUGAAUUUCUGGAUCAUCUUUCACCUCAUCUAAUUUUUUUUUGCUAUCGGUCCAUUGCGGGUACGAAAUCAAGGUACCAUGGAUCAUCUUUCACCUCAUCUAAUUUUUUUUUGCUAUCGGUCCAUUGCGGGUACGAAAUCAAGGUACCCAAAUCAGCAUCGUCAUCACGUCUGGAUAGAGCAUCAGCAGCUUUGUUAUCCAUCCCUAGUUUGUACUUCACCUCAAACUGAUAGCCAAGCAACUUAGCCAACCAACACUACUGGUCUGGGGAAGUUAUUCUCUGCUGCAGGAAGUGUUUUAGACUCUUGUGAUCCGUGUAUACUCUGAAUUUCUUUCCCAACAAGUAGUGUCGCCAAUGCUGGAUGCACAAUACCAAGACCAUAAGCUCUUUUUCAUACACCAACUUUGCUAAAUUUCCUUGAGAUAAUGCUUUGCUGAAAAACGCUACAGGUUUCCUUUGCUGCAUUAACACCGCUCCGAUACCUCUACCAGCUGCGUCACAUUCCACUUCAAAGGGUAGAGAAAAAUUAGGUAGUACCAAAACAGGGGGUGAAGUCAUGAUAAUCUUCAUCCAUUGAAAAGCUGCAUUUGCCUCUGUUCCCCAUGCAAAGUUAUCCUUCUUGGUCAGCUCAGUCAAAGGCUUGGCCACUUUGCCAUAAUCCUUAAUAAAUUUUCUAUAGUACCCAGUAAGUCCCAAAAAUCCACGAACUCCUUUUACAUUCUUUGGUUCUGACAAUGAGAGGUUGUGAUCAACCACUGAUUGUUCGGUUUGAUGAUCGUAAGAGACCUCGCCAGAAAGCCGCAGGAUUUGAUCUCAGAUUGGAUACAUCAAACACUAGACUUCCAUCAAAUAAUUCUGAAUUUCUGGAUCAUCUUUCACCUUAUCUAAAUUUUUUUUGCUAUCGGUCCAUUGCGGGUACGAAAUCAAGGUACCCAAAUCAGCAUCGUCAUCACGUCUGGAUAGAGCAUCAGCA